UUUAGGGAGACGACUCCUUUUUCUGCAGUUGAAUACGGCGCCGCUUGUCUCGCCCAUUGUUGAACAGAAAACAACUCCAGGGAAUACCGUACGGGAGAAAAACGUGACCAGCAAAAAUAGAACGAACCAGAACACGACCAGGACAACACACAACGACUCGACAAGAGAUCCUGCAAUUAAACAGGUGAAAGAUUUGUUGAGAGCAAAUAACUGCACAGAGCUGACGUAUGAAGAGG